GGUGGCUCAGUGGUAGAGCGCUUGCCUUGUAUGCAUAGGGCCCUGGGUUCGAUUCCUCAGCACCA
rnacentral:tRNA from 1 species